AUCCUUUUGUGGUUCACACAUGUGAUGAUUGGUUUUUCACAUUCACAUGUGAGAUGCGCCUCCCUCCAACCUUGUUAUGAUGUCAGCACAUUACCUAGCUGACA
ensembl:snoRNA